rnacentral:lncRNA from 1 species
AGUUAGUCUGGAGUGCCAGAUUGUGAGAGUCGUAAGCCGAGAGCUAGACUGUGAGAGUCAUAAUUCUGUGUGAUGAAUUGAGAAAUUGAAUACAAUAGGUAAGCUGGAGAUUAGUAAUUGAAUAUAUCUAAAUCACAAAGAGAGUAAGUGGGAGAUGAAUGGAUAAGAAUAUGGAAGUAUUGUUGAAUUGAUAGUCGUAGAAUGGAUUA